CGUCGUCCUCCUCGGCCUCGUUUCGACUUCCGGCGCCUGCGGUUGUUCGUCCCCGGCUCGCUCCCCGGCGUCUGAUCGUGAGAGGAUGCGGUGAUUCGGUGGAGUUCACAGGAAAAAGGAGGAGACGAAGACCAGGGAAUGGGUACGGAGGUGCCGGUGGCGUGAGGAGCCUCGGUCGGCUAUGAGAGGAGGAGGAGGGGGGAUUCCCCUCUUUUUCUUCUCCGGUAGCAACCGGAGGAUCCCUCUCAGAUUCCGUCAGCUUUCCCCGGGAUCCUUCGCGAGGAUCAAGCCGCUCCUCUACUGGUGCCUGGCCUUCGCACUCCUCCUCCUCCUCCUCCUCUGCCGCCGCCCCUCUCACUCUUCCGGAACAUCCCUUUGUCCCGGGAAAGGUUACACUAUACUGAUUAACACAUGGAAGAGAAAUGACCUUCUGAAGCAAUCUGUUGUCCAUUAUGCUUCUUGUGUUGGAGUUGAAUCUAUUCACAUAGUGUGGAGUGAGCCUGAUCAACCUUCGGAUUCCUUAUGCGAUGCUUUGUGGCAAGCUGCACAACUAAAUUCAAGAGGUUGCAAUGGUACUGAGCUAAGAUUCGACUUAAAUGAAGAAGACAGUCUAAACAACAGGUUCAAGGAAAUCAUGGAUUUGGAGACAGAUGCUAUCUUUUCAAUCGAUGAUGAUGUUCUAUUUCCUUGUGCUUCAGUAGAGUUGGCUUUCAGAGUCUGGCAAAGCGCCCCUACCACGAUGGUAGGAUUUGUACCUCGUAUGCAUCGGCUGGAUAGGAUGAAUUUCUUCUUUAGUUCAAAAAUUCCUGUCCAGAAAGGGAAUGAGGAAUACUAUAGGUAUGGAGGGUGGUGGUCCGUUUGGUGGAUGGGCACUUAUAGUAUGGUCCUCUCGAAGGCAGCAUUUUUCCACAGGAGGUAUCUCAAUCUUUACACAAACCACAUGCCUGCAUCUAUUCGUCAUUACGUAACCAAAUAUAGGAACUGUGAAGACAUUGCAAUGUCAUUCCUUGUCGCAAACACAACAGGUUCUCCUCCUAUAUGGGUGAAAGGCAGGAUGUUUGAGAUAGGAUCAACUGGCAUCAGUAGUUUAGGAGGCCAUAGUGAGCGGAGAACUCAAUGCCUCAAUUUGUUUGCUGAAGUUUAUGGUCAUAUGCCUUUGGUGGCGACUAGUAUGAAGGUUAUAGACAGUCGGCACAGCUGGUUGUGGUGACUCAUUUACUUCCUAUGCUAUAAUUUCAUUGGUCAUGCAACAUAAAAUUAGUCUGUAUCAUAUGCUCUCUUAUUUCCUCCUCCUCUGUUUGGUUUGAUGU